rnacentral:rRNA from 1 species
GUAACGGCGAGUGAAGCGGCAACAGCUCAAAUUUGAAAUCUGGCCUCCUCCGGGGGUCCGAGUUGUAAUUUGCAGAGGGUGCUUUGGUGGUGGCGGCGGUCUAAGUUCCCUGGAACAGGACAUCGCAGAGGGUGAGAAUCCCGUACGUGGGCGCCUGCCACCUCCGUGUAAAGCCCCUUCGACGAGUCGAGUUGUUUGGGAAUGCAGCUCUAAAUGGGAGGUAAAUUUCUUCUAAAGCUAAAUACCGGCCAGAGACCGAUAGCGCACAAGUAGAGUGAUCGAAAGAUGAAAAGUACUUUGGAAAGAGAGUAAAAUAGCACGUGAAAUUGUUGUAGAGGAAGCGCUUGCAGCCAGACUUCCCCGUAGUUGCUCACCCGGGCUCUUGCCCGGGGCACUCUUCUGCGGGGAGGCCAGCAUCAGUUUGGGCGGUCGGAGAAAGGCCUCUGUCACGUAUCUCCCUCCGGGGAGACCUUAUAGGGGAGGCGCAAUGCGACCAGCCCGGACUGAGGUCCGCGCAUCUGCCAGGAUGCUGGCGUAAUGGCUGUAAGCGGCCCGUCUUGAAACACGGACCAAGGAGUCUAACAUCUAUGCGAGUGUUUGGGUGUCAAGCCCGGGCGCGCAAUGAAAGUGAACGGAGGUGGGAACCCUCGGGUGCACCAUCGACCGAUCCUGAUGUCUUCGGAUGGAUUUGAGUAAGAGCAUAGCUGUUGGGACCCGAAAGAUGGUGAACUAUGCUUGAAUAGGGUGAAGCCAGAGGAAACUCUGGUGGAGGCUCGCAGCGGUUCUGACGUGCAAAUCGAUCGUCAAA